GAACACAGGCGACGGUGCCGGGGUAUUCGUUGGUUCGAUUUGGUGAGGGUUUUUUUUUAUUUCUUUUGGUUCAAUUUGGUGAUGUUUUUUUAUUUAUUUUGGUUCAAUUUCGUUAGUUAGUUUUUGGGAGUACACAUAUCCUGGCUUUAUUAAUAUUGAAAUUGUUAAUAGGUUUUGUUUUUGCAUCUGGUGAUUAUUUGGUUAUUUUGGAGCCUUAGGAUUUCAGAACUAUGGAUUAACAUAACAAAUGAUCUAUUUAAUGCUCUUUUGUCAUCUCAAUUAACAGGUGUUUAUCCUUUAUUAAUGGUGAUUGGUUUCAUCCUUAUAAGUAUGCUUUUAGCCUCCAAGUUUUCAUUUAAAAUAUCCAAAUACCGUAUUUGAAAAGGAUCCAUUGAAGUUUUUAUAUUCUUAUAUUAAUUGCUAUGUUUUCUGAUCGGCUCUCCACAAAUGAAGUGAAAUUCUUGCAAACUUAUGAUCGUUGUUUUUAUCAUGAUAUGUUGUGCAGUUAAACUUUCCCAUCAUUAUCAUACAAUCCUCUGUUAAAAGUCAG
rnacentral:lncRNA from 1 species